CUCUUUUGCAAACAAUUAACACAAAAUCAAUUAGUAUUUCAGCUAGUCUCUGAAAACCAUGAAGACAGUAACUCACAAUCAUAUCAGUGAAAAACAGAUUGAGUAUAUCAACGUAGUGGUUAGGAAGAUUUGUAAGUUCUAUGAGAUCAGGCUCAAACUAACUCAGGACCAACUUGGAAUGCUAGAGUCCUUUGUGAUCAUUAUUAUUAGGCACUCCCACAAAAGAACCCUUCCUUUAUAGCUUCCAGCUUUACUUACUUUUUGUGGGGCUGACAUAAGUGUACAUGUUAUGUCACAUGUUAAGUUACAUUUUUAAAAAAUCAUUGUUUUUCCUUUUAAAUGACCACAUAGGACUGUGCUUAAGUUAUACUCUCCUGCCACGUGUUUAAGAUCAAGUUGGUCAAAACUGACCUUGUUUCUACUCUUUGUCAGCUGAGAUUCCUCAGAAAUUACCCUUGGAGACAUGUUUCAGCCUCUUGGCUUCUUUUGCUUGCCUCUUCCAGUGGUGCCAUCUGCCAGGAUGGGUCAGAAUCUUGCUGGCCAUACUUGGUUUCCUUUGGAAACAUCAGGGACAUUUCUAUCUCCAGUGACCCUCCUGUUUGCAGAAUGUGUACUGGUUGGCUUCCUGUUCGGCAGGGUCCUCUUGAUCUCCUGGAUUGGCAGAUCAGUUAAUCCACCAGAGUUGCAGGGCCCAGAGAGGGGUCCCAAACUUCUCCAGGUCCUGGCUGACCUUAGAGGGCAAGAGCCAAAAUGUUGGCUGCUUUGUCCUUUGCCCUUUUACUUCCUUGACUUUGGUCUCCAAGUUUUUGGUUUUAAACACCCAGCAGGCCAGUGUUGCCAGUCUUAUAGUGGGAGUAACGGGCUAUAACUUCAAUAUCUAUACUUUUACAGUUAUCUCUUUCAUUUAAUUGGGGUUAGUGUUAGUACUGGAAGUCUGCAUUAUAUACUAUCUGUCCUAUUGGUGAUGAUUUAUUAUCUCAAAUUAACUCAAGUUGUUUUGUUAGAUGCAAAACUUCUGCAAAACACUAACAGGCAACAGUUAUAAAGUUUACAAGGAAAAUACAAAGUGAAAUUAACAGAGCAAAAAAAAAAAGAUCAAUUUGCGAAAUAGCUAGGAACCAAGAAAAAUUAUUUUUAUUUAUUUAUUUUUAUUUUUAAUAUUAAUUUUUUUUAGUUGGACACAAUACCUUUAUUCCAUUCAUUUAUUUUUAUGUGGUACUCAGGAUCGAACCCAAGGCCCUGCGCAUGCUAAGUAAGCACUCUACCGCUGAGCCACAAUCCCAGCCCCAAGAAAAAUGAUUUUUAUAAUCUUCAAAUUUACUUAAUUAUACAUUAUAUCUUCUGUUUAUUUUGAGAUCACAGUAAUAUUUACAACAAUUGAACACAACUUUAAAUAAGCUGAAAACUAAUCUAUUUUGGAGCCAUUCUAACAUGGAGUAAGGUGGGAGGCAGAGCCUUAUCUCAGGUAAGGUGGGGCUCUUGACAAAUAACAAAACACAACAUUAUAUCUGAAACAUAAAUCAAACAAAGGCUAAGAGAGCUUGUAACUUUCUUUUUGUGGCAAAAUACUUCCAUGUUUUACAGUGUCACCCUUAGACAGAUCAGGCUGUCCUUACUACCUUCCAAAAAUACAUUUAAAUUCCUAUUCAAGUGUGAAGAGUAACACAAAAAUGUAUGCAUAACUUAUUGACAACGUUACUGUAUUCAGCUAUAAAACAUCAAAUGACAUGAAUAAAUGCCACCCAAAUUUGUUAUUUCUAUACAAACCUGAGACUAUUGCUACAGAUAAUUUUAGUUUGGAGAACAUCAAAUUGAUAAUGUGCUCUCCUCUAAGCUUUACAUUUAACUAAGUUUAACUUUUUUUUUUAAUGGAAUAUAUUUUUUUAAAUAUUUAUUUUUUAGUUGCAGUUGGACACAAUACCUUUAUUUUAUUUAUUUAUUUUUAUAUGGUGCUGAGGAUCAAACCUAGGGCCUCUCACAUGUACUAGGUGAGCACUCUAUCGCUGAGCCCCAACUCCAACCCCCAACAUUUAACUAAGUUUAACUUUUAAAGUACAGUUUAGAACCCAUAUUGUCCAUAACAAUAAUCGCAGGUCUGCAUGGGUUAGCAGUACUAGCAAAAAAUCAAAGGAUAGCCUUAAAUCUCUUAUACAUUUAGGAAACAGUGUUACUGAUCAGAAACAGAUUUAGUCAAAGCAAAAAGAUAUAAGACAAGUGACAAAUGACAGUGUGGCCCUUCUAUGUUAGAUACAAUGUAUAAAGGAGAGCACUUAUUUGUUACCUUGCCAGUAAACUUCCAAAUGCAAGACUGUACAAAAAAGAAACAGAGAUAACAAGGGAAGAGCCCCAACACCAUGGCCAACAGACAAGAACCUUAAAUUGACCAGCUGAGAUCUUUCCUGAGACACUAUUGAGAAACCAGCCUCUACCUCAGAGCAAAGCCUGUCCAAGGAAGGGGGUGUGACCCUUGUCCUUGGAAAGACCCAAGGAGCACUCCUAGGCACAUACCCACCCUGCUGAGUUGUUUAUCUACAAAUAACAGGAGAGAUCUGCAGCACCAGGUGUCCCUGACUCAGUCAGGCUAGGUGAGGUAUGUGCAACCCUCUAGCAACCACCAAUUAGCAAGAGACAGGGAAAAUACCUGGAAUGCCAGAUGACCCUCCCAGUAGUUUAUGGUGGUGGUAACAUGUUGGGAAACCAUGUAGCUCAGUAUGUACUCCCCUUAUGGCUUAAACCAAUCAGUUCAAACGAAUCCCCCUCUUGUACUAACCAAUCACGCUUAUCCAACUUGUUCCCGCCAGUGAAUGUGCUAAUCAUGUUUUAGAGUUGUUUUAUGAUUCUAUGAUGUAUGUGAAGUCCCUGCCUUCCCCAAAGAGUGUAUAAAACUUCUGCAAACCCUGGGCUCGGAGCCUCUCAGCGUCACCAGUUGCUGUGUGCGCAUGGAGGACCAAGCUAGCUCACAAUAAACACCUUUUUGCUGCUUACAUCGA
rnacentral:lncRNA from 1 species